UGUCACGUAGGUUCAGUGGGCGGAAGAGGUGGCCCCGGAUGCUGCGGCGCCCGCUGGCCGGGCUGGCAGCGGCCGCCCUGGGCCGGGCCCCGCCGGACGGCUUGCUCUGCUCUUUACCUGGGGUUGCUGUCGAGGACCCUGUGCAAGACUCGGCCGGUUUUUCUUUCUCCCUGAUGGACAGACCCAAACAUAGCCGCGCAGCAUCGUGAAGGGCUGGGGCCUUCACGCGUCUGUGGCUGUGGAAGGGCCUGGUUUCCUCAGGAGUCCUUAGGAUGGCUGAAAGCCAGAAGGAGGAGAUUAUGCCGCCAGAGCAGGGAGUGCCUUUCCAGGAAAGCGGCUGCUGGAGCAGCAUGGGAGCCCAGCCCAGGGAGCGUUCUGGCAGAGACCAUUCCGGAACAUGGAUCUGCGCCGGCGGCUCCCAGGAGACCUUCCAUCUCGGAGCUCCUGUGGAGACCACGUGCCUGGCAGGCAUGUCGGGCCCCAGGCCUGUGGUGCUGAGCGGGCCUUCGGGAGCUGGGAAGAGCACCCUGCUGAAGAGGCUGUUCCAGGAGCACAGCGGCAUCUUUGGCUUCAGCGUGUCCCAUACCACAAGGAACCCGAGGCCCGGCGAGGAGAACGGCAAAGAUUACUACUUUGUAACCAGGGAGGUGAUGCAGCGUGACAUAGCAGCCGGCGACUUCAUCGAGCAUGCCGAGUUCUCGGGGAACCUGUAUGGCACGAGGUGGGCCACGUGUG
rnacentral:sRNA from 1 species